AUAUAAACGAUCACAAAGUCAAGGGGAUCGUAAGUUUGAAGCCUAACGAGCUAGAUGGAAGCUUGUGGAUGAAGCGGGUCAAACGGAGCAAGUACGGAAAGAAAAGCGUGGCAUGGAUGCAAGGAUGAACGGCUCGAGAAUUAGC